rnacentral:rRNA from 1 species
ACUCCUGCGGGAGGCAGCAGUGGGGAAUUUUGGACAAUGGGCGAAAGCCUGAUCCAGCAAUGCCGCGUGAGUGAAGAAGGCCUUCGGGUUGUAAAGCUCUUUUGUCAGGGAAGAAACGGUGAAAGCUAAUAUCUUUUGCUAAUGACGGUACCUGAAGAAUAAGCACCGGCUAACUACGUGCCAGCAGCCGCGGUAAUACGUAGGGUGCAAGCGUUAAUCGGAAUUACUGGGCGUAAAGCGUGCGCAGGCGGUUUUGUAAGUCUGAUGUGAAAUCCCCGGGCUCAACCUGGGAAUUGCAUUGGAGACUGCAAGGCUAGAAUCUGGCAGAGGGGGGUAGAAUUCCACGUGUAGCAGUGAAAUGCGUAGAUAUGUGGAGGAACACCGAUGGCGAAGGCAGCCCCCUGGGUCAAGAUUGACGCUCAUGCACGAAAGCGUGGGGAGCAAACAGGAUUAGAUACCCGCGUAGUCCCAU